UGGGGAAUAUUGCACAAUGGAGGAAACUCUGAUGCAGCGACGCCGCGUGAACGAUGAAGGCUUUCGGGUCGUAAAGUUCUGUCCUUGGGGAAGAUAAUGACGGUACCCAAGGAGGAAGCCCCGGCUAACUACGUGCCAGCAGCCGCGGUAAUACGUAGGGGGCGAGCGUUGUCCGGAUUUAUUGGGCGUAAAGGGUUCGCAGGUGGCCUUUUAAGUCAGAUGUGAAAGAUCACAGCUCAACUGUGGUAAGCAUUUGAAACUGAAAGGCUUGAGUUAAGGAGAGGAAAGUGGAAUUCCUAGUGUAGCGGUGAAAUGCGUAGAUAUUAGGAGGAAUACCAGUGGCGAAGGCGACUUUCUGGACUUAUACUGACACUGAGGAACGAAAGCGUGGGGAGCAAACA
rnacentral:rRNA from 1 species